rnacentral:lncRNA from 1 species
AAAUGCCAAUGUAAUAUAAUGUAGUAAAGAAUACUAACUACAUAAGAUAUAUGAACUAGCAGUAUUCAUCAUACUCGUAUUCUCAUAACUUGCAUCAUCAUCAGAUACAGACUUAAUUAACACAACAAAUUUCAAAUAAAGAAUAACACGUGACCAGCAAUCAAUGCUACAACAUCCAAAUGCAUCAUUGACUCAAACAAUUCAUUCAAUCACUAAUU